rnacentral:rRNA from 1 species
AACGAACGCUGGCGGCAUGCCUAACACAUGCAAGUCGAACGAGACCUUCGGGUCUAGUGGCGCACGGGUGCGUAACGCGUGGGAACCUGCCCUUAGGUUCGGAAUACCUCCCCGAAAGGGGUGCUAAUACCGGAUAAUGUCUUCGGACCAAAGAUUUAUCGCCUUUGGAUGGGCCCGCGUUGGAUUAGCUAGUUGGUAGGGUAAAAGCCUACCAAGGCGACGAUCCAUAGCUGGUCUGAGAGGAUGAUCAGCCACACUGGGACUGAGACACGGCCCAGACUCCUACGGGAGGCAGCAGUGGGGAAUAUUGGGCAAGGGGCGAAAGCCUGAUCCAGCAAUGCCGCGUGAGUGAUGAAGGCCUUAGGGUUGUAAAGCUCUUUUACCCGGGAUGAUAAUGACAGUACCGGGAGAAUAAGCACCGGCUAACUCCGUG